rnacentral:lncRNA from 1 species
UUGCAUUUCAAGUGCUCAUCUAUGUUCUAGGGAUGAUCACAGUCACUGGCGUGGUCAAUGUUUCUAUCCUUUCCAAUGGACAGAGCUAGCGGACAGGUUUGAAAAUCCCGAGAGGGGCUAAGAAUUACUUUCUGUGAAUGCUCCAUAAUCCCCAAAACCCUUUAGCACUGCUGACCUCAAAAGUUUCCCAGAAUUGUUCUCUACAGGAAAGGGUGUCAGCUUUGACAUCUGAGACAAACUCUGGUCUUAGUGGCGGUGUUCUACCGACCUAAAUUCUUCUAUUGCAGCUUUGCUCAAAAAUAGCACUCCUUCACUCCCUGUUCUCAAUUGCCACAUGGUUGCCACACAGGGGCUCAUGAGGAGGCUGUGUCCCCUCCUCAGGGGUGAAGUCAUGCCUAUAGAAAGCUUGAGUGUCCCCAGAGUCUCUUUGUUACCUGUCAUAUGCUACCAAAUAUUACCUCCGCUGGCCCACAGUACCCUGCCCAUUCCUGUCCUGUCACACUGUUCCCAUUGCCCUUGGAUGCUUUCCCAGCUGUCCAGCGCUCACAUCCUUCAAGACCCAUGUCGGGUCUCACGAAGACUUCUCGGACUCCUUAAGCCUCCAUGUACCUCAGCUUUCACAUCUGUGAAAUGGAGAGAAUUGUACCCAUCUCACCAAGUUGUGAAGUUUAAAUGUUACCACCUGGAAUAAGGCUUAGCACAGUGAGUCCUCAAGAAAUUUGAGUUUUUAUUCCUAUUCUAGCCAAUAGUUCUCAACCCAGCUGCAUAUUAGAAACAUCUAAGGGGGCUUUUAAAAGAAAAUAGUGAUGCUUUGUUGCCGCCCUUGGAGAUUCCGACUUAAUUGGUCAGGGCAAGUGGAAUCUUUCACGUUCUUGAGGUGAUUCUGGAGCAGGGCUGGCAAAUGACACUGUCGAACUGCCACCUCCAUUAUUACCUUUUGGGUGUGUGAGGUGAGAUACUCCUGUGUCAUUUUAACAAAUGUUUGCUCACUCUACAUCAAGGUGGAUUCUGGUGCUUAAAACCAAAGGAGGCCUAAUGAGUGCAGGAGUAAUUUGUAAGGAUAAUUAGCGCAUAGAGUUCGAUCUUUGGCAACGCUGGAGCUGAAGGGGCUUCCCCACUGCCACCCCGUGUCGUCCCUCAGAGGCCACGCGCACUGUGGUGAUUGGGUACACUGUUUAAUGCUGUCCCCAGCUACUGCUUGAUUUAGGAAUAUAUUAGGAAUAUAUUCCUGAGUAGUGGAAUAAGGAAACAUCCUUUCCUUAUCAUGUUAGCUCAACAACUUAGAGGAAAAAAAAUCAUGAAAAUUUUGUUUUUCCUCCUUUUUGCCCCCCUGCCUUUGAAACCAGCCACUGCAGCUGCUAACACAAAUAUCUCUGUGUAGAAUGUGUUUUGUCCUUCUGGAGAAGACAAAGAAUUACUAAAAGAGCAGACAGCUGCUUGUCCUGGCAGGAGGAGAAGAGCUUGUCAGCACUCACUCUCUGCUCUUCCUCAGCCCAAUCACCAUCGUCUUCUUUUAGCCCAUUUUUGCUCUCACUUUUCCUGGUCCAGGAAUGUAGGGCCAUCACUCUACCCUUGUGCCUCUAACUCUGGGUAGACACAACAGCCCAGUCCUUCUUUUUCCAUGUUAAACCUGCGUUGUCUCAACUUUAAGACUUUAAGCAAGGCUGGCAGGCAAUAAACUUCACCUUGACUCGGAAACCGCCCCUCCAUCUCUCUCUCUUUCACAAACACACAGCUCACCCAUUGUUCCAACAGGGAUGUUUGCACAACAAUUUCGCACAACAGGGAUAAUGACAGAGUCUACCUCAUGGGUUGUCGUGACGAUUAAAUGAGACAGGGCCUCAAACUUGGCUGCACAUUAGAAUCGCUGGAAGCGUUUCAAAAAAUCCCAGUGCCAGGCAGCACCCAGAUCCAUUAAAUCAGAAUUUCUGGUUGUGGGAGCCAUCCAUCAAUAUUUUUAGAAUCUCCCUAGGUAAUUCCAGUGUGCGGCCAAAUUUGAGAGCCAGUGAGAUAGUACUUGUUAUAAGCACUCAAUGAAUGAGAGCUGCUUUCAUUAUUAUAAUUAAAAAUUGAGUGAGAAUCCCUCAAAUUUAAUAGACUGCUGAAAUUGAAGGCGUAAUAGGACCCAGAUUCCUUUCUUCUUUAAUUCAUCCAUCCAACAAUGACAGAGCAUUUACUAAGUGCUGGGAUCUGUGCAAAAUUCCUCCUCCCUGUUUGAAAGUCAAAAGAUCAUAUUGCCUUCAAGAGGGAAUUCAAGUUCUUUAGGACAAUUUGUCCUCUCUCAUCCCCUUCAUGCCCUGUUAUCUGCCAGUGCCAUCACCCACAUGCUGGUUAAGCUUCAGCCACUCCAAACUAUUUGUAAUGGUUCCAAGCCCUCCUGUGUCUCUGUGCCCUUCUCCACGCUCUUCCCUCUGCUUUUCCACCUGGCUACCUUAUAGAUGGAAUUCCUGAUAUGGAACCUGAAAAGCAGAUGGGCGCCCAGCACCCCCUGGCAGUCUCCACGCGUGCCCUCUGAUCAAGGAGCUGGCCGGUAUCCCCUCAGUCUCAGGACUCCUUGAGAGCCCUGCAGUAGGGGAGUUCUCAAGGCCUUCUCUCUGCAGAAAGGCUUGACAACUCUCUCUCCCCUCUCCUUCAGGCCUCACUCUGGCAGAAGACUGCUCAGGCCCAGGCAGGAUCUCUGUCCUUUGUCUUGCUUAACUGGCUUUGUUGUUCCAAGACUCCACGAAGUUGCUCCCCAGGGUCCCUCUCAGAGAGAAAACUCUUCCUGUUGACUCAUCCAAGGGAGCAGGGCAACUCAGAGCCCACUACUCAGAAUGGCCUGAAAUUUGGAGCCUGGAUCUUCUGUGGCCACUCCAUGAAAUCCCAUGAGGCUGGCAGCCUUGGGGGAGUAAUGUGACUUCAUGACCGUAAAUAAUCCCUUGCUGUUGCAGGCAGACUGUUUAGCUACCUCCAAAGGAGACAGACCCUCUGGCGCUUCUGCACCACAGGCACCGUCAUAACAGCUCAAGGAAGAACGAUGUUUAUUCCCAUGGUACGCUGAACAGUGAAGAACUUAAAGGAUAAUCAUUGCCCAGUCACAUUAAUUUGUUCAUUUCUUCAUUCACUUCUUCCACAUUUAUUCACUGAGUAUCACAUUGUACCAAACCCCAUGCUGGGUGUUGGAGAUAUAAAGAUAAAUAAAACCCCAAAACAACCUCUCCUUGUAUCAGUUAGCUCUGGCUACAUAACAAACAUCCCCAAACAUCAUGGCUUAAAACAAAAACUAUGUAUUUAGUUUACAAUACUCUAGGUCAACAAUUUGGGCUGGGUUCUGCGGGCUAGUUCUACUGUCCUUGGCUGAGCUUACUCAGGGUUGAUGGCCAGCUGCUGGAUUGGUUCGGGCUGGCUGGUCUAGGGGGUUCUCAGCUGGGAUGGCUCAUCUCUGCUCCACACACUCUCAUCCUCCAGCGGGCUAGCCUGGACUUGUUCAUGUGGCGGCUAGGCAAUUCCAUGGGCACGAGCAGAAGCCUGCCAGGCCUCUUGAAGGUGAGGCUCUGGGUUGACAUAAUGUCCCUUUAGCCAUUACAUUGGUCAAAUCAAGUCACAAGCCCAGGCCAGUUCCAAGGAGGGGUGAAGACCUCUGACUGUCAUUGCUAAGGGACUUGGAAACAGGCAGGAAAUAAGGGCUAAUUUUUGCUAAUAGUCUAGCUCACUGCCGUUUAGGAGCUUACAGUCUGGUCAGAGAGACAGAAAAUUGUGAUAAGUGCUAUUAAGAAGCUGUC